rnacentral:rRNA from 1 species
AACGAACGCUGGCGGCAGGCCUAACACAUGCAAGUCGAACGCCUUAGCAAUAGGGAGUGGCAGACGGGUGAGUAACACGUGGGAACCUUCCCUAUAGUACGGAAUAGCUCAGGGAAACUUGAAGUAAUACCGUAUACGCCCGAGAGGGGAAAGAUUUAUCGCUAUAGGAUGGGCCCGCGUCGGAUUAGCUAGUUGGUGAGGUAAUGGCUCACCAAGGCGACGAUCCGUAGCUGGUUUGAGAGAACGACCAGCCACACUGGGACUGAGACACGGCCCAGACUCCUACGGGAGGCAGCAGUGGGGAAUAUUGGACAAUGGGCGCAAGCCUGAUCCAGCCAUGCCGCGUGAGUGAUGAAGGCCUUAGGGUUGUAAAGCUCUUUUAGCAGGGAAGAUAAUGACUGUACCUGCAGAAUAAGCUCCGGCUAACUUCGUGCCAGCAGCCGCGGUAAUCUGAGUCGGAG